UACAGAGGGGGCAAGCGUUGUUCGGAAUUACUGGGCGUAAAGGGCGCGUAGGCGGCGCGGUAAGUCACUUGUGAAAUCUCUGAGCUUAACUCAGAACGGCCAAGUGAUACUGCAGUGCUAGAGUGCAGAAAGGGCAAUCGGAAUUCUUGGUGUAGCGGUGAAAUGCGUAGAUAUCAAGAGGAACACCUGAGGCGAAGGCGGGUUGCUAGGCUGACACUGACGCUGAUGCGCGAAAGCCAGGGGAGCAAACGGG
rnacentral:rRNA from 1 species